rnacentral:rRNA from 1 species
GUAGGUGGCAAGCGUUGUCCGGAAUUAUUGGGCGUAAAGCGCGCGCAGGCGGUCCUUUAAGUCUGAUGUGAAAGCCCACGGCUCAACCGUGGAGGGUCAUUGGAAACUGGGGGACUUGAGUACAGAAGAGGAAAGCGGAAUUCCAAGUGUAGCGGUGAAAUGCGUAGAGAUUUGGAGGAACACCAGUGGCGAAGGCGGCUUUCUGGUCUGUAACUGACGCUGAGGCGCGAAAGCGUGGGGAGCAAACAGGGAUUAGAUACCCUGGUAGUCCACGCCGUAAACGAUGAGUGCUAAGUGUUAGGGGGUUUCCCGCCCCUUAGUGCUGCAGCUAACGCAUUAAGCACUCCGCCUGGGGAGUGCGGCCGCAAGGCUG